AGCUUUGCACAGUGGCAGUAUCGCAGCCAAUGAGGUUUAUCCGAGGUGCGAUUAUUGCUGAUUGAAAACUUUUCCCAAUACCCCACCGUGACGACUUGAAAUAUAAUUGGUGUUGGCAAUUUUUGGCAGUCUCUAUGGAGA
rnacentral:snRNA from 1 species